AUUGAACGCUAGCGGCAUGCCUUACACAUGCAAGUCGAACGGCAGCACGGGGCAACCUGGUGGCGAGUGGCGAACGGGUGAGUAAUGCAUCGGAGCGUACCUUUCAGUGGGGGAUAACGUAGCGAAAGUUACGCUAAUACCGCAUAUUCUGUGAGCAGGAAAGCAGGGGAUCGCAAGACCUUGCGCUGAUUGAGCGGCCGAUGUCAGAUUAGCUAGUUGGUGAGGUAAAGGCUCACCAAGGCGACGAUCUGUAGCGGGUCUGAGAGGAUGAUCCGCCACACUGGAACUGGGACACGGUCCAGACUCCUACGGGAGGCAGCAGUGGGGAAUUUUGGACAAUGGGGGCAACCCUGAUCCAGCCAUGCCGCGUGAGUGAAGAAGGCCUUCGGGUUGUAAAGCUCUUUCGGCCGGGAAGAAAUCGCACGGGCUAAUACCCUGUGUGGAUGACGGUACCGGAAUAAGAAGCACCGGCUAACUACGUGCCAGCAGCCGCAGUAACAC
rnacentral:rRNA from 1 species